UGUAUGCAAAUGUCAUGAUUUAAUCAGGAGGAUCAGUGUCACUCAAACUCUCAAAGGACUGUGUUAUAAACAGGAUCCUCAGUCAGUGUUUGUGUUCUGCUGCAGUGCAGUUUCUCUUCACUUGACAGGUCUAGAUUGAUAAUGGAAAUGUUACAGUAUGGAGUUCUGCUGAUAAUUAUUUCAGCUGUUAGUGGUGAGUCUUUGACCUCCUCAGAUUCUGUGGUGAAAAAGUCUGGAGAAUCAGUGACUCUGUCCUGCACUGUGUCUGGAUCAACAACAAGCAGCUACUGGAUGGGCUGGAUCCGUCAGAAACCAGGGAAAGCACUGGAGUGGACUGGGCUAAAAUAUGGCUCAACUGUAUAUUAUGCUCAGUCUCUACAAGGACAGUUCUCCAUCACCACAGACACCAGCAAAAACAUGCUGUAUUUAGAGGUGAAAAGCCUGAAGACUGAAGACACAGCUGUUUAUUACUGUGCACGAGAGUCACUGUUAAACAAAAGACUGCAGGACUGAACAAAAACUAUUCAUGCAUCACAUCACUGAAGCAAUUGCAAACUUCCCCACAAUUCAACAAAUUAUACUUGUUUAGAAAUGUAUUUAAAACAUUUAAAAACUUCUUCAUAAGCAGAUUCUCAAAUAAAUGAGUGACUAAAGGUCUGGAUUAAUUAAGGUACACCAUAAAGAUUAUAGUCUGCAGGGUUGAUCAAUCAGCAAAGAUACAAAACCUGUACAGUUGUCAUACAUGACAUUAUGAAACAAAAAUAUAUGGGAAUAUAGCAGAAAAUAUAAUGCAAUGUAUUUUGAAUAACACAUUUCUUUAUAGGAGACUGGUGAUUCUAUUUUUUUAUACCCUGCAGUA